GAUGAACGCUGGCGGUAUGCUUAACACAUGCCAGUCGAACGGACUCUUCGGAGUUAGUGGCGGACGGGGGAGUAACGCGUGAGAAUCUGGCUUUGGGUUCGGGACAACCACUGGAAACGGUGGCUAAUACCGGAUGUGCCGAGAGGUAAAAGAGAAAUUGCCUGAAGAUUAGCUCGCGUCUGAUUAGCUAGUUGGUGAGGUAAAGGCUCACCAAGGCAGCGAUCAGUAGCUGGUCUGAGAGGAUGAACAGCCACACUGGGACUGAGACACGACGCAGACUCCUACGAGAGGCAGCAGUGGAGAAUUGUCCGAAAUGGGCGAAAGCCUGACGGAGCAAUACCGCGUGAGGGAAGAAGCCUCUUGGGUUGUAAAUCUAUUUUCUUAGGGAAGAACAAAAUGACGGUACCUUAGGAAUCAGCAUCGGCUAACUCCGUG
rnacentral:rRNA from 1 species